UUUCCGUAGGUGAACCUGCGGAAGGAUCAUUCAUAGUAAGUGUUUUAUGGCACUUUUUUAAAUCCAUAUCCACCUUGUGUGCAAUGUCAGGGUUGAUUUUUCUUUCGAGAGGAUCAGCCCCAAACAUCAACUAUAUCUCAACUCUUUGUCUGAAAAAUAUUAUGAAUAAAACAAUUCAAAAUACAACUUUCAACAACGGAUCUCUUGGCUCUC
rnacentral:misc_RNA from 1 species